rnacentral:rRNA from 1 species
AGAUUGAACGCUGGCGGCAUGCCUUACACAUGCAAGUCGAACGGUAGAGUAGCAAUACUCGAGAGUGGCGAACGGGUGAGUAAUAUAUCGGAACGUGCCCAGUCGUGGGGGAUAACGUAGAGAAAUUUACGCUAAUACCGCAUACGAUCUAAGGAUGAAAGCGGGGGAUUCGCAAGGACCUCGCGCGAUUGGAGCGGCUGAUAUCAGAUUAGGUUGUUGGUGAGGUAAAAGCUCACCACGCCGACGAUCUGUAGCUGGUUUGAGAGAACGACCAGCCACACUGGGACUGAGACACGGCCCAGACUCCUACGGGAGGCAGCAGUGGGAAUUUUGGACAAUGGGCGAAAGCCUGAUCCAGCAAUGCCGCGUGCAGGAAGAAGGCCUUCGGUUGUAAACUGCUUUUGUACGGAACGAAAAGGCUACUUUCUAAUAAAGAGGGCCCAAGUGAACGGUACCGUAAGAACUAAGCGAACCGGCUAACUAACGUGCCAGCAGCCGCGUAACUCUA